rnacentral:lncRNA from 1 species
CGAUAGCGCAAUUCUAAUUGUGGAGAUUGUGCUACGAUCUCACAGCGACUUUACUACGACAUUACUACGACCAUCACGUUCUUACCGCUUCCUCUAUGACCACGUUUAUACCACGCUUAUACCACGCUGUUCAAGACCAAUAUAGUACGCUUUUAUUACGCCCAUGCUGUCCUCAUCACGCUGUUCUUACUACCCGACCACGUUCAAACUACGAUCAUCAUGCUCAUUGUCAUAUACCAUUUAUAAAAUCCCUCCAGUUUUUAUAUGUCUGUAUGUUAUUUGAACCUCUAGUCCUUUAUCUCCAACGUCUCAAUCAUUCUUGACACAUCUGUGUCAUCCCUACUAUCGUCUACUAAAGCAUCGUCAUUUUAUCUUGAUGGACCAGCAAUGAGUUGUGAUUCAGGUUGGAUUUGUCGGUCCGACAUACAUGUAUAUCUUCUGGAACAUGAUUCGUUACUAUAAGAUCUCCCUCUGCCUCUACCUCUACCCUUACCUUUGCAUAGAUUAUGGUUGCAUGACUCCGUUGUUUCCUAGAAACUCUACGAAUCAAUGAAAAAUAGAAGGAAUGAUACAGUAUUUAUAUUGAAAAUGAUGUCGACUUUAUUGAUGGGUGCUCGAGCGUAGUAAGAUUGCGGUAUCAACGUAGUAUAAUCGUGGUAAGAACGUGCUAUAAUCGUAGAAGAAGCGUUAUAAGAUCGUGUUGCAAUCGGAUAGAUCGUGGUAGGGUCGUAAUGAGCGUAGAAAGAUCGUGACAAUCGUAGUGAGGUCGCAGAAUAAGCGUGGUGAGAACGUGGUAUAUUCAUAGCGGGAUAGUUGUAAAAGCG